rnacentral:lncRNA from 1 species
CAGCUGCUGCAAGUGUGUGGAUUUCUAGGUAGUCACGUUCAGGAUACUUCGGUAUAUUAUCAAUGAUAAAUGUUGUUAUAACAACACUAUACUAGUACACGGGAAUGAACGGAGUAUCGAGACCGCGCCUUGGUUAACGCCUAUUAAUUCAGUAGGCGUUUCAAAGGAGUGGUCUCAAAAAAUGAGCUUAUUUACCGAAGUAGAGAGUAUAUUGACACAAGUAAGAAGCGAAAUAAUUCAUGGAAUUGGACAGAACAGGGAUUUUUACAUUACAAGGUUGGAAAGCUUGAUCAGUGUCAAACGGAAGAUGCCACUGAGCACUAGUCUCGCGUAGCCAGACCACACCCUCCGUGCCUCCGGGACGGAGGGUGUGGUCUGGUUACGCGAGACUAACUGAGCACGGUGACGACCCAGAUUCAUCAACAAGUGAAACACUUGCUCAUUUACACUAUCGGAUUUGCCAUUUCCUUUCCCAACUGACUUGUAAUACUACCUGUUCCACAGUUAUUUCUAUUUCAAGGCCUACUAUUUAUUCAUCAAAUGGUGGACCUGGACAACCUAGAGUAUUCAUCAACAUUGAAAUGGUGGAAUUUUUAAAAAUAGCAGAUUUAGUUGGUGUAAGUAGGUCAACAUUAUGGAGAAGAUUGUCAGAACAUGAUGGUAUACCUCAUCGCUUUUCUGAUGUCAGUGAUGAUGCUCUAGAUUCUAUUAUUAGUCAAUACCAAAACCGUAAUCCCCAUACUGGCCAAGCUAUUCUUAGAGGCUACUUGGAGAGUAUAGGUAUUCAUGUACAGCGUCAAAGGAUCAGGGAAUCUGUUUGGAGAACAGACCCACUCAGAAGAUUUUUGAGAUGGCAUGGACGGCUAUCCCGACGAGCUUACAAAGUUCCAGGUGCUAACAGUCUGUGGCACAUAGACGGUCACCAUAGCCUCAUUCGUUGGAGGUUUGUUAUUCAUGGCGGAAUCGAUGGAUAUUCACGCAUGAUUGUUUUUUUACGAUUUGCUACUAAUAAUCGAGCCAUGACAGUAUUUUCAGCUUUCUCUGAAGCUAUAGACAGUUUUGGAAUUCCUUCACGUUGCGAUCUGAUAGGGGGGGGGGUGAGAAUACUAUUAUUUGCCAAUUUAUGAUUGCUGUUAGAGGUUGUGAUCGAGGAUUGCUGGUCCAUCAACACACAAUCAGAGAAUAGAGCGAUUAUGGAGAGAUGUGUAUAGAUGUGUCUGUGCAACAUUUUAUGAGAUUUUCUACAAUCUUGAAAUGUGCAAUGAAUUAGAUCCUACUAAUGAAGUACACUUAUUUGCAUUGCAUUGCUUGUAUGUACCUCUAAUUAAUAUGUCAUUGCAGGAGUUCACAAGGGCAUGGAAUCAUCAGCCAAUUCGAACUGAACGUAACUGGUCUCCUCGAAAAAUUUGGACUAAUAGCAUAAUACAUGGUGAUCAUCAAGAGGUAGAUGUAGAUGACUGGAACAUGUAUGGAUAUGAUUAUGGUGGUCCUAUACUUCAUGAUGAUGACGGUCUUAACAUUGUUGAAGUACCUGAAACUUUGGAACACUUGAGUGCUGACUUUAGAGAAUUAUAUAUUGCUGAACUAGGUAAUAGAUCUGUUGCUACUUUCAGUGAUGCAUACCUCUUACUUCAGCAUUUGAUGACGAUACAUGGUUACUGAUAAGUCUCUCUUUCUCAUAUGCACACACUAAUUAUGCACUCUUUUCCUACCUUAUGAAUCAUGAUAGAAGUUUGUAAUUAAAAUUUUUACAGUUAUUAUUAUUUGCAGGAGACUGAUUAUGAAUUGAAUGUUUAUAAAUCAA